AGCCCGUUCUUCUAGCGGUUCAGGAUGCUGGCCCUUCAAGCCGGAGACACGGGUUCAAGUCCCGUACGGGCUA
rnacentral:tRNA from 1 species